UACAGAGGGUGCGAGCGUUGUCCGGAAUCACUGGGCGUAAAGGGCGCGUAGGUGGCGCUCCAAGUCCGUGGUGAAAGCUCGAUGCUCAACAUCGAGUCGGCCACGGAGACUGGAGGGCUCGAGCACUGUAGGGGCAGAUGGAAUUCCGGGUGUAGCGGUGGAAUGCGUAGAGAGUCCGGAAGAACACCGGUGGCGAAGGCGGUCUGCUGGGCCAGUUGCUGGACACUGAGGCGCGACAGCGUGGGGAGCAAACAGG
rnacentral:rRNA from 1 species